AUUGAACGCUGGCGGCAUGCUUUACACAUGCAAGUCGGACGGCAGCACAGAGAAGCUUGCUUCUUGGGUGGCGAGUGGCGAACGGGUGAGUAACGCAUCGGAACGUACCGAGUAGUGGGGGAUAACUGUCCGAAAGGAUGGCUAAUACCGCAUACGCUUUGAGAAGGAAAGCGGGGGAUCUUCGGACCUCGCGCUAUUCGAGCGGCCGAUGUCUGAUUAGCUAGUUGGUGGGGUAAAGGCCUACCAAGGCGACGAUCAGUAGCGGGUCUGAGAGGAUGAUCCGCCACACUGGGACUGAGACACGGACCAGACUCCUACGGGAGGCAGCAGUGGGGAAUUUUGGACAAUGGGCGCAAGCCUGAUCCAGCCAUGCCGCGUGUCUGAAGAAGGCCUUCGGGUUGUAAAGGACUUUUGUCAGGGAAGAAAAGGCAGUUGCUAAUAUCGGCUGCUGAUGACGGUACCUGAAGAAUAAGCACCGGCUAACUACGUGCCAGCCGCCGCGGUAAAAC
rnacentral:rRNA from 1 species